rnacentral:siRNA from 1 species
UGGUGUGAUGAUGUGUCA